AGUGAACGCUGGCGGUAGGCCUAACACAUGCAAGUCGAACGGCAGCACAGGAGAGCUUGCUCUCUGGGUGGCGAGUGGCGGACGGGUGAGGAAUACAUCGGAAUCUACUCUGUCGUGGGGGAUAACGUAGGGAAACUUACGCUAAUACCGCAUACGACCUACGGGUGAAAGCAGGGGACCUUCGGGCCUUGCGGGAUUUAAUGAGCCGAUGUCGUGUUAGCAAGUGGGCGGGGUAAAGGCCCACCAAGGCGACGAUCCGUAGCUGGUCUGGGAGGAUGAUCAGCCACACUGGAACUGAGACACGGUCCAGACUCCUACGGGAGGCAGCAGUGGGGAAUAUUGGACAAUGGGCGCAAGCCUGAUCCAGCCAUACCGCGUGGGUGAAGAAGGCCUUCGGGUUGUAAAGCCCUUUUGUUGGGAAAGAAAUCCAGCUGGCUAAUACCCGGUUGGGAUGACGGUACCCAAAGAAUAAGCACCGGCUAACUUCGUGCCAGCAGCCGCCGUAA
rnacentral:rRNA from 1 species